AUACGGAGGAUCCGAGCGUUAUCCGGAUUUAUUGGGUUUAAAGGGCGCGCAGGCGGCCAUUUAAGUCAGCGGUUAAAUCGUGGGGCUCAACCCCAUUCUGCCGUUGAUACUGGGUGGCUUGAUUGCGGUCGAGGUUGGCGGAAUUCGUUGUGUAGCGGUGAAAUGCAUAGAUAUGACGAAGAACACCGAUUGCGUAGGCAGCUGACCAGACCGCAAAUGACGCUCAUGCACGAAAGUGCGGGGAUCGAACAGGAUUAGAUACCCUGGUAGCCCGCACAGUAAACGAUGAAUACUUGUUUUCGGCGAUAUAAUGUCGGAGGCAAAGCGAAAGCGAUAAGUAUUCCACCUGGGGAGUACGCCGGCAACGGUGAAACUCAAAUGAAUUGACGGGG
rnacentral:rRNA from 1 species